GAUGAACGCUAGCUACAGGCUUAACACAUGCAAGUCGAGGGGCAGCGGUAUCGAAAGCUUGCUUUCGGUAGCCGGCGACCGGCGCACGGGUGAGUAACGCGUAUCGAACCUGCCUCAUACUCGGGAAUAGCCUUGCGAAAGUAAGAUUAAUGCCCGGUGUUUUCAGAGUCCCGCAUGAGGCUUUGAACAAAGAUUUAUCGGUAUGAGAUGGCGAUGCGUCCCAUUAGCUUGUUGGCGGGGUAACGGCCCACCAAGGCAUCGAUGGGUAGGGGUUCUGAGAGGAAGGUGCCCCACAGGGGAACUGAGAACCGGUCCAAACUCAUACGGGAGGCAGCAGUGAGGAAGAUUGGUCAAUGGGCGGAAGCCUGAACCAGCCAAGUCGCGUGCAGGAAGGCGGCCCUCCGGGUUGUAAACUGCUUUUAGUUGGGAAUAAAACGGGGCUCGUGAGCCCGCUUGCAUGUACCAUCAGAAAAAGGACCGGCUAAUUCCGUG
rnacentral:rRNA from 1 species